AGUCGGAAAUUGUUGUCCGUUGUAAUGACGAGUACGAUGAUUUUCUGGCUCUUUUUUUGGGGGAGAUGCAUGUUCUUAAUUGAGUGUGUAAGGAACCCAAACGAUUACCUUGAAAAAAUUAGAGUGUUCAAAGCAGGCUUUAAAGCUUGAAUAGAUUAGCAUGGAAUAAUGAAAUAAGACUUUGAUCUUAUUUUGUUGGUUUCUAAGAUCACAGUA
rnacentral:rRNA from 1 species